CCUACGGGAGGCAGCAGUGAGGAAUAUUGGUCAAUGGACGAGAGUCUGAACCAGCCAAGUAGCGUGAAGGAUGACUGCCCUAUGGGUUGUAAACUUCUUUUAUAUGGGAAUAAAAUGUUCCACGUGUGGGAUUUUGUAUGUCCCAUAUGAAUAAGGAUCGGCUAACUCCGUGCCAGCAGCCGCGGUAAUCCGGAGGAUCCGAGCGUUAUCCGGAUUUAUUGGGUUUAAAGGGAGCGUAGGUGGAUUGUUAAGUCAGUUGUGAAAGUUUGCGGCUCAACCGUAAAAUUGCAGUUGAAACUGGCAGUCUUGAGUACAGUAGAGGUGGGCGGAAUUCGGGGUGUAGCGGUGAAAUGCUUAGAUAUCACGAAGAACUCCGAUUGCGAAGGCAGUUCACUGGACUGCAACUGACACUGAGGCUCGAAAGUGUGGGUAUCAAACAGGAUUAGAUAUCCCUGUAGUC
rnacentral:rRNA from 1 species